UCAGGGUUUCUCACUUGGCUGGCACAGAAGGGGGAAGGAGGGGUCAGCUAUCACUGUGGACAUGUUGUUUUGGUGAAGACACGACCAUGGGUCAUCUAACCAGAGAUGUCCAGCAGGCUGGCAGAAAUAUGGGCGUGGAAGUUGAAAGGGAGAAGUUGGAGGCAUAUUUUUCCUCUGACACAUUUUUGUCCAGCAUCCAUUCCUGAGGUUUGGCUCAGGCCGCUGUGGACUGGUGGGGGAAGUGCAGCUCCCAGAUUUUGGUUGUAUUUACAGAACCACAGCAGCAAAGCCACUGCCUUCCCCGUUGCUACACAGGAGAAUUUGUGCAGACUCGGGGGUCCCUGGGAAGAUGUCACACUAAGGACACAGCUCUGGGCUGGCACUGAGGUUCUGUCUACAAUGGAUUAUGUGAACAUCCAGGCUUUACUUUGCUCGUGAGUCCAUUUGGGAAAGGUAAAAUCAGGAACAGUAACUUUGGGACAGCCUGUGUUGGUGAUGGUUUCAGCUUUGACCAAAAGCUACCUGGACUCUAAUCAGCUGCAAAGUGAGAGAGCUGCAGCCAUGUAGAUCCUGCCAGAGCCCUGUGCACUUCAGCCACUUUAUGGCAAUUGGGUUACUGGAAAGUCAAUUUUUUUGCAGUGAGUAAAUUCAUCUCAUCGUGCAGAGGAAACUCAGGGGAGGUCUUUUGUCACAUGGUUAUCCUCUGAUUUAUCAUCCAGAUCCAAAGCUGAACAUACCAGAAGUUGUGUUCUCUGAGAGACUCUUUACUCAGAAGGCCAGAAGAGGCUGUUAACAUCAUGCACAGAGGCAAAGAAGACAGAAAUGGGGGCCAGGAGAGACAGCCUAAGCAAAAGCAAGGAAGGCUAGCCCUCUACCAAACCUAGAAACAGUCCGUGUGGGACAUGACUGCUGUGCACACACGGAGACAAGGCCAUGUAUGAAGGUCAUCUCUUCCAGGUGUUCUCCAGUUCUUACUUCUGUCUCUCGCAGCAAGAACCCAUCUUCUCCACGAAGUCUGUGUGAGUUCCAUAAAGCCAGAGGUGUGCUCCUUUCCCAGUGUGAGCAGCUCCUGGCAUGUGACUUGGUCAAGAGGAAACUACUGAGUGGAAGCGUAAAUAUAGUAAGCUCUACCAAAGGAUGGUAACCGCUUAAUUCUUCACCAGAGGAAAGCCAGGACGGAAAUGGACUCCAGCUGCACCAUGGGAAACUUCAGUCAGACUCAAAGAAUUCCCUUAGUGAGAGUGAUAGAUACCAGACCAGGUCCCGUGGGACAUCGUGGAAUUUCCUUGAUGGGCCCUUAGGAAGGAGUGUGCUUUUACUGUUUGAGGUGAUUCUGAGUUUUGUUGAAGAGGCUUCAAUUUUAGCAUGAGUCACCGGCAACCCGGAUGACAGUAAAGGGGCUUUUGACUCUUGGUCAUUGGGUUACCCAGAUGGUUUGUUGUACUAAGCACUAGUUGAGAGCACCAGCAGCUGGGGAGGCUGCGUGCCUGAGUGGAGGGCAGAAAAGUCUUUACUCUGAGCCUAUGAGCAAAUGAAGCAUUUUGUCAAGGGUCACUUACCCUAUACUGAAAUUAAUAAAUGCAAAAGGGAAAUCAGGCCAUAGUGCCAGAACAGGUAUUUGAACUUUAGCUUGGGCACAGGACAUGGUAAGAUGUGGGUUGAUGUCUUCAGAAAGAACGCCAUGAAUUCAAAUCUUUACUGGAUUGCUGGAUGGGCUCAUGAAAGCAUAUUAUAGCCAGCUGGGCCUCACUAGCAGAGGCUGUGUGGCCAGGCUCCUGGGGUCAAUUAUAUAAAAGACUGGAUAGCUAUGUAGUGUGACAGCCAACUGCUGUGAGAUAUGCUUUUGAUCAUUUCAAUGGAAAACCAUCCUGUUCUGGUCCCCAAAUGUCUGAUGCUGGCUGAGUAUCCCAGGGCUAUACUCUGGUACCUUGGUAUACGCUUCCCUUCCCCUAGGACAGCUCUCCCAGGCCAGAGUCAGUUGACAAGGACUAGUUCAGCACAGUUAAUUAGUCACAGCUUAACUUAGAGCUAUUAAAAGCAGUGAGAGAUGUGUGGCAUCUGAGUGAAGUCCGAGAAAGAUCUGAGGAAAGAAGAAAGAGAUGGCAUAAUUCUCAAGAGCUGACACUGGUUUAGAGCCUGAGAAAGUAUUUCUCCACACCCAUGAAGACUCACGUAGUUUCAAUUGUCAAUCAAGUCUACUUUUAACCACAGCACUCGCUCUUACAACGAACCAACCAUGCUGCCAGAACUCACAUGAUCAUAACAUCAGCAAGCCACUGGGUAUGCCACCAUUUGAGUUCUGCUCCAGGGAUUGCUACAAGCAAACCAAAAAUGAAAACCUUUCACUUUGUGAAGACACAAAAGUCAGAGUGACCGGGAAGCCUGUUGGGAAGGACAAGGCCAGACGUGACAGAAAGAGACACACACAUGUCAUUCUCUUGGCAAUAGUAUCAGACAUGUGUGUGCUUGGGCUGGUUGCUUCCUGUCAACUUAACACAAGAGAACUGCUUGGGAAGAGGAAAGGUCAAUGGAGGCAUUGCCUUCAACGGACAGUCUCGUGGGCAUGCCAGAGGGGGCAUUUUCUUAAUUGCUAAUUAAUGCAGAAGAAGCUAGCCCAUUGUAUGUGGUGCCAAUCCUAGGCAGUUGGGCCUGAGCUGUAUAAGUAACUAGGAAAGCUAAAGAGAGCUAGUAACCAGCAUUCUUCCAUGCUUCCCUGCCUCUUUACCUGCUUGAUUGAGUUCCUGACCUGGCUUCCCUCAGUGACCUACUGUGAUGGAGACAUGUACACCAUAUAAAUCCAUUCUUGCCAGUGUUGCUUUUGGACUCAAAGCCUUAGCUCAGAACCAAACAUGUCACAUGUGUAGGCUUCAAGGGCAGAGUGUUUCUAAAGGACCUGCAAAGCUGGCGAGGAAAACAGGUGUGGGUCAUUUGUGCUGUUCCCAGAGCUCAACCAAGGCCAAGCCUGGCAGAGGAGGGUGACAUAGAGUGCUCACGUGUGACACAUACUUUCAAAUAGCUUCCUCCAUAAAUCCAGGCCCCAAAGGAGCCUCCCCAACUUCCCUUCCUUCUCCAUGUGGGGCAAGCAUCUGGUGAGAAGCUUCACCCUGACCCCCAGGUACCCUUCCUUCAGAGGUAUUCAUGAGUUCUUGGAACUUGAGCUAGGACUGGAAGUUCACUGCAAACCUGGGUCCUAAGCUAUAACUCAGGACAUUACUAGAAGGCUUGAGAAGCAAGACAGCCAGUUUGUGUUCUGUAUCAAGCUCUGGAGAAGGUUAGUUAGAGAAGUGAAGUUUGGAAGACUCACACCUAUGAUGUGUUUCAGAAGAUAAAAUCAUUAGUUUUAUACAGGAUAUGACAAUGUGCGGCUUACUGUGUAGAGGCCUGAGUAGCCAACUCAAGUAUACCAGCAUUUGACUUCUUGGUAAGUAUAACACAGAGCCACUCCAAGAUCAUUUAAACAAAAAGAAACAAAAAAAAACAAACAUAAAAAAAAGCCAGCCCUGUAGAUGACAUUCAGAACUGUAAGGGCCUACACUGUGACCUUGAUACUGUGUAAAUGCAUAUUAGAAGAAAUUAAGAUAUCUUGAGUCAAAACUGACCAGAAAUUCAAGAAAUAAACGCACCAUCAAAUGGAAAAAUCAUUUAAUUCAAAAGUCAUACUUCCACUCACUUUAUAGGGAUUGCCACAUACACAAACCAAACAUAAAAAAGCCAAG